UCUAAGGGAAAAACACUUUCUCACGGCCGGUGACAGCGAAGUGGAUAACAGGCUUCAGUACCUGCUGGUCUUUGAAGCUCUGGAUUCUUGGAAAAGAGGCGGCGGCAAGAGGGGAGACCUCGGAUCAUCCAGCUGGAGAGCUUGACCAGGAGGAGUCAAACAUUAACUCGGUUCUUCCAGGGCACCCUGCAGACUUAGCUGCUGGCAUUGGCGAGGGAGUGCAGCUGCCACUGGGAUGACGUGAACGCCAAACAGGAGUCCAUCGCAGGUCGACUGCAGCUCCUUGUCUUAGAGUGGGAGGGAUUUGAAGCACAAAGGGAGGACCUUGUCAUUUGGUUGGCUGAUACGGAUGUCCGCCUGAGUGAGGUUGACCAGCUGACAAGAAACACCUAUGAAAAACUGAAACAACUGCAGGUGUGGGGUUGUUUUGAUAUGACAUAUAUUUGAUAUGAUACAUACGUCAGAGACAUGGUCCUAAACUGGACUAACAAAGGACCAUGAGUACAACAUGAAACUUGCCUUACAUAACGCUAAAGUUCAUUGAUAAUUUUAAUCAAAAACUUGUUGUUGUUGUUGUUGAAAUAUUUUUACUGAACAUGCAAACAUCUGCUGAUGACAAUGUGUUGAUUUAAUGGUCUGUUAUGAAGCUAUUGCUAUUUCUAAUGUG